rnacentral:misc_RNA from 1 species
GUUUUUAAGCCCAAGGAUACAAAUCUCUUCUUCACUCCAUCUCUCUUAGCCCGUGAACUCGUCUCUCAUCUCCUUCUCUGGUUCUCUGUGACGUUCCCAUAAGCACAAGAAUAUUCUUUCUAAUGGCCAUUCACUAGCUAACCAAAUGUUUUCUAUUUCUUUCUUUCAUCUGUUUUUGCUCUGUUUUCUUGUAUUAGCCACCGCCACUACUGAAUUCGACUUCGGUACUUUAACUCUAAGCAGUCUCAAGCUUCUCGGCGACGCCCACUUAAACAAUGGGAGUGUUCGUCUCACAAAUGACCUCGCCGUUCCCACUUCUGGCGCUGGCAAAGUUCUUUAUUCUAAGCCAAUUAGAUUUCGGCAACCGGGCACUCACUCUAUUACCAGUUUCAUCACUUUUUUCUCAUUCUAUAUCUCCAAUCUAAACCCGUCGUCUAUUGGUGGCGGGCUUGCGUUUGUCAUCUCGCCGGACUCCGAGACUAUUGGUGCUGCCGGUGGGUGUCUCGGACUCCUCAACACUGAUGGGCUCGGCUCGGGCUUCGUGGCGGUCGAGUUUGAUACUCUCAUGGACGUGGAAUUCAAAGAUAUUAAUGGAAACCAUGUGGGUUUGGAUCUAAACAGUUUGGUUUCUUCGCAGACUGGGGAUUUAGGAGCUAUAAAUAUCGAUCUUAAGAGCGGUGAUCUUGUUAAUGCGUGGAUCGACUACGAUGGCACAAAUCACGUCCUCAACAUCUCGGUUUCAUACUCCAAUCUUAAGCCCAAAGAGCCGAUUCUAUCAUUUAGUAUUGAUCUAGAUCAGUACGUGAAUGAUUUUAUGUACGUUGGGUUCACUGGGUCGACGCAAGGAAGCACAGAGAUCCAUAGUAUCGAAUGGUGGAGCUUUAGUUCUUCCUUUGACUCAAUUUCUGGUCCUGGGUCAUCAUCUCCGCCGCCUCCAACGACUAGUUUGAUGAACCCAACGGCUAAUUCUGUGAAGUCACCGCCGCCGUCAUUGGCUCCUACUGGUUCUGAUUCAAUUAGUAGUCAAGAAAAGAACAGCAAGUCUUCUUCGUGUCAUAACCAGCUCUGUAAGCAAGGACCUGGGGCCGUUGCAGGGGUGGUUACUGCUAGUGCAUUUUUAGCUAUUUUUGCCGGGGUUCUUAUCUGGGUAUUCUCUAAAAGGUACAAGCAUGUGAAAAAAACAGAGUCUUUUGCGUCAGAGGUUAUCAAAAUGCCAAAGGAAUUUAGCUACAAAGAGCUCAGAUCAGCCACAAGAUGCUUCAAUGCAAAUAGAAUUAUAGGACAUGGUGCAUUUGGUACUGUUUAUAAGGGUAUAUUGCCAGAGACUGGCGACAUUGUAGCAGUGAAGAGAUGUAGUCAUAAUAGCCAAGGAAAGAAUGAGUUUUUAUCUGAACUGUCUAUAAUUGGUACUCUUAGGCAUAGAAAUCUUGUUCGGCUUCAGGGUUGGUGUCAUGAGAAAGGUGAAAUUUUAUUGGUUUAUGAUUUGAUGCCCAAUGGAAGCCUUGACAAAGCAUUGUUCGAAGCGAGGACGCCUCUACCAUGGCCACAUAGGAGAAAAAUUUUACUUGGUGUUGCAUCUGCUCUGGCUUACUUGCAUCAAGAAUGUGAGAACCAGGUGAUUCAUAGAGACAUUAAGACUAGUAACAUUAUGCUCGAUGAAGGGUUUAAUGCAAGAUUAGGAGAUUUUGGCUUGGCUAGACAAAUUGAACAUGAUAAAUCACCGGACGCAACAGCAGCUGCAGGUACAAUGGGAUACUUAGCACCAGAGUAUUUAUUAACAGGAAGAGCUUCUGACAAAACUGAUGUGUUUAGUUAUGGGGCUGUGGUUCUUGAGGUGGCUAGUGGGAGAAGACCAAUUGAGAAAGAAACAAGUGGGGUUGGGAAAGUUGGGGUUAACAGCAAUUUGGUUGAAUGGGUUUGGAGUUUACACAGAGAAGGAAGAUUGCUGAUGGCAGCUGAUGCAAGACUUGAAGGUGAGUUUGAUGAGAAUGAAAUGAGAAGGGUUCUACUUGUCGGGCUAGCGUGCUCUCACCCUGACCCAUUGACUAGACCCACAAUGAGGACUGUGGUCCAGAUGCUUGUAGGUGAGGCUGAGGUCCCAAUCGUCCCAAGAGCAAAGCCUACUAUGAGUUUUAGCACUUCCCAUCUCCUGUUGAGCUUGCAGGACAGUGUGUCUGACUGCAAUGGCAUGAUCACUGUCUCAACCUCCUCAUCAGAAAAUGGUUAUAUUGGUGAUGACAUAGUUUGAUACAAACUGGACGGGUGGGUUUCCACAACCUUUGUUUAUUGACUCGUAAUUAUAUAUAUUAUUAUUCGUUUUUGUAUUUAUGACAAAGUAACAUAUUCAAUGUAAUCACAAGCAGCUUGGGGGAAAAUUUUUUAUUUUUUUGGUGUUAAACUAAUGCAUGUACUGUAUAGAUUAGUUAGUGGUGGGACAAAGGAAAAUUAGGUGGGAGUCACUUUCUUGCUUUGAUCAGAUGGGUUUUCUUAUCUUCGAUGGUGGGUAGUGGCUUUCACAGGCAGCAAAGCUCAUAGUCAAAAGUACGCACACAAGGCGUUUGAGUAGAGGAUUGGUAAAGUACAGUGACAGAAAAAGGAGCUCAUGUUUAUUAUUAUUGGCUGGCUGCCAUGGACAGCUCAAGAACAUCCAAGCCAAUUAACCAUUAUUUUAUUUCUU